CACCACGCCCCAUGCUCCAGAAUAGCUCUUGGAAACGGGUGGUAAUGCUGGAUGCUCCAACUUGACGCAUGUCUUGUUGGGAAAGUGUUUAGUGGCAUGGGAUGGGGUCGCGUCCUAUCAGCUUGUAGGCGGGGUAAUGGCCCACCUAGGCUUCGACGGGUAGCCGGCCUGAGAGGGCGGACGGCCACAUUGGGACUGAGAUACGGCCCAGACUCCUACGGGAGGCAGCAGC
rnacentral:rRNA from 1 species